CAGAGGGGGUGUAAAUGAGAAACGCGCGUCAACAUGAAGAAGUGGCAGCCACCGCUAGGCCCAAAACCUUCUCUAUUCAGAAACCCUAAUCCCAUUAGGGGCUCAGCAUUUCCCCCUUUCAUUCCCAAUACUCCUACUCAGUUGUAGAGAUCCAAGAUCCCUCUCCUGACCGCAGCGCCGACGGCUUCCGCCAGUUUUGACACCACCGGCGACAGCAAGUGUGCUCGAAACUCAAACGGCGACAACGGCGUUACUGCUUCCAACCACCGCCGGCCGUCCCAAACUCCAUUCGACUGACAGCUGCGAGCCGCCGCGAGCCACUGGAGGGAAACCGACCAUCGCGUGCCGCGACUGAUGCCGCCAGAUCCCGGCCUCUCCUCUGCAGCUUCGACUCACCGCCGUCUACCCCGAAGCUAAGCUCACGCCGUCGACGAAACCAAGCGCCGCUGGGGCAUCCGAUCGGUGGAACCUUCGCCGCGGCUCGAUUUCCCGUGGAUCACGCGGAGACCUCCUUUCAUUUAAAAUUAGAAAUUGCUCUUGACAAUUGCCCCGCAUGUCCUCUGAUCGUCGGUUAUCUGCUUCGGGUGUUGAGAUCGAGAUUUUGUUGUGGUUUCCGUGUGCAGGUUGAAGAGAUGAAUGGAGGGAUAAAGGUUUUGUGAGAUACGAAUAAUGGACGCCGUUGGAACAUGGGCUGGAGCAUAGCAAACCUUAUGAACGUUCAGCUAUAAUCAAAGAAUUAACUGGGCAAAUAGUGCAGAUAAGCCAGCAGAAGUUUGCCUAUUAUAGAAAAGUCUCUAGCAAAGGAGAAGAAUUGAUGUGAUUUUGUAUUGGGGUUUUUAAACUUGUAAAACUCUUUGGAACGAGGGGUUUCAUGUCUCCUUCUUGCAGCUACUGUGGCAAAACCUCAUUCAUCCGCGACGAUGAAUCUGGCGCGUUAAUAUGCUCUUCUUGCGGUUGCAUUCAGCAAUUCGACCAAUUUGAAGCCCAAAUCGGCGGCAUCAAUGGACCCCAGGGUACUUUCAUCCAUGUCGGCACCGCCGGUUCGGGCAGCGUAUACUCUUAUAGAGAGAAGAAACACUUUACCGCAAAAAGCACCAUCGAGGAAGUGACCUACAGUCUAGGGUUAUCUUCCAAGAACAGCGACGUCAGGAGCAUGGUGUACACGAUAACCGAUGGUGAGUUUGGCCAGGGCGAGUGGUUCCGCGUGCUCAUCGGCGCGUGCGCUUAUGUUGUCAUGCGGAGGGAGGACCGACCCUUGCCCAUGGCGGAGAUUGCCUCCACGGUGGGGUGCGACAUCUAUGAAAUCGGUAAGAUGAUUCAGCGUGUUGUUGAUUUUUUGGAUCUGAGAGCUGAUUUUCCGGAGUUUGACAUUGUGCAUUCGUUGGAAAGAACAAUUAAAAAUUCGAGUAUUUUUUCCUCUGUUGAGAGUGGUGUGAUUGAGAAGAUGCGGAAACAGGGGGUGUUUUUGAUUCAGUGUGCGGUGAAGUGGUUUUUGAGCACCGGCCGCCGGCCCCUUCCGCUGGUGGUGGCGGUCUUGGUGUUUGUGGCGGAGUUGAAUGGGGUCGUGGUGGUGAUGGAGGAAUUGGCUAAGGAAGUUCAUGCUAUUGUUUCAACUUGUAGGCUUAGAUAUAAGGAGUUGCUUGAGACGCUUGUGAAGGCUGCGCAAGUGUUGCCUUGGGGUAAGGAUGUUACUGUUAAAAACAUUAUUAAGAAUGCGCCUUUGGUGAUUCGGUAUAUGGAGAGGAAGGUUAUGUUGAAUCCUGGGGAGACUCAGGAGAAGAGGAAGGGUCUUGAUCGAGCUGCGGUGGACUUGGAGGAUGUGGUUGCUGACUGCUUGAGACAUGACAAUGAAUUUGAAUAUGGCGUUGAUGGCGUGACUUCGCGUAAGGAUUUACAGUAUUUUUCGUUGGAGAGUAAAAGUGUUGGGGAUGCUGACAGGAUGCAGAUUUCCACUGAAUGCUUGUCUGUGAUGUAUAAGAAGUUUUUAGAUCGAAAUCGUUCUGCUGAGUCAUUGCGAGGGAGCGGGAAUUCUCGGAAAAGGAUUAUUUUUCAAUUUGAUAUUCUGGAGUGUAGGGAGUGGUGGGAUGGAAAAUCUGAAUUGAGCAAGAAGCUUAUGCUUAAAGAACUAAUGAAGAAGGAUGUUGGUGUGGAUACAAUGCCGCCAUCGUUUGUCAAUGGUCAAUUGAAAUGUAAAAUGAGGAAGGAGAAAAUCAAUGCUGCUAAGUUGCGCAUAAAAAGAAUUACGCAUCCAGUAGAUGCUAAUCUAGGUGAUGUUUUUGUCCCUUUAGAUAGCUCUUGUCCUAAGAGAAGGAGGAAGAGAAAAGGAAUGGUAGUGGACGAUGUUGAUUGGGAAGACCUUAUUAUUGAGACCCUUGUUCUUCAUCAAGUAAAAGAUGAAGAAAUUGAGAAGGGGCAUUACAAUACCUUACUGGAUCUACACGUGUUCAACUCUGGCAUUGUAUGAGAUGUUUCAGAUAUAGCGGCAUUCUGUUUAUCAGUGGCUGUGACCGUAAAUGCCUGUGAUUUCCACGAAUUUGGAAUGAUUGUCUGAAACUGUAGCUACAUAUAUUUGUAUAAGGAAAAAGAAGAAUUCACAUGGAGGCAAAUCGUAUUCUCUCUUCUCGACCUCCUUUAUGCUACAUUAAAAUUUUGUUUUACUUGUUGAACUGGUUGUCCUUGCUGCAUCCAUUGUGAGCAAAUAUGGAAAAGUAUGUAUAUGCAGGGUGACAGAAGGUAUUGGAAAGUCUGGGGAUCAGGCUGAGGGUGAAAGGAAAAUACUGUCGCAAUAGCUGCUCAGUUAAUUGCUUCCUGCACACAUUUCUACCAGUAGGCUAUCCCCCACAGAAUCUAUUUUCCGAAUCACAAUAAACAAUUUCAUAAAUACCGAAAACUAUUUCUGGAAGUUUUCUGAUAGGGGUAUAAAAAGCAACAGCCCGAUUGCGAUUUUCAGUUUGACCUUUUAAGAGAUGGGUUGCAGAUAUUUAUUCGUGAUUUUAGGGGAUUAUUAUACGGUUUAUAUCUCGUUAUUUAUAUAACCAAAAUAUUAUCUUUAUAUUUGAGACAUUUACAAUUAUCGCAGAA